AUACGCGAGGAACCUUACCAGGGCUUAAAUGUAGUCUGACAGCUUUAGAGAUAGAGUUUUCUUCGGACAGAUUACAAGGUGUUGCAUGGCUGUCG
rnacentral:rRNA from 1 species